UUCUACAAGGGAUCGCAGUUAAUUGAUGGUUCUUUUCUGCAAAGUUAGGAGCUGAGUUUCCUGGUACGGAGCAGUCAACAAACCUUGGCUUGUGCACCUUAUACACUGGAUUCUGAUGAUAUUGUAGUAUUUACUACAAUCAAAUCAACAUUAUUCAGUUUGUGAGUCUGUGGUGUUGUUUGGACUUCGCAAACAAGGGAGUGUGUGAGUCAUGUUGAUUCUGAAGUCAUGUCCUGCUUUCACUUCCCAAAACUCAUGAAGCAUGCAGAAGAAAAUUAAAAAAUGGUGGGUGGCUUAAAGAAUUCCUUUCCAUCCUGCCCUUUCCUGGACCACAGACUCCUUUUAUGAGAAGGUGCUUUUUCUAGCACAGGUGACAUCAUGACAGAUUUUUUUUUCUUGUGAUUUGAAUAAAAUGUCCUUUAUUCAGUAAAAACGG